rnacentral:rRNA from 1 species
AACGAACGCUGGCGGCAUGCCUAACACAUGCAAGUCGAACGAGACCUUCGGGUCUAGUGGCGCACGGGUGCGUAACGCGUGGGAAUCUGCCCUUGGGUUCGGAAUAACAGCGAGAAAUUGCUGCUAAUACCGGAUGAUGACGUAAGUCCAAAGAUUUAUCGCCCAAGGAUGAGCCCGCGUAGGAUUAGCUAGUUGGUGAGGUAAAGGCUCACCAAGGCGACGAUCCUUAGCUGGUCUGAGAGGAUGAUCAGCCACACUGGGACUGAGACACGGCCCAGACUCCUACGGGAGGCAGCAGUGGGGAGUAUUGGACAAUGGGGGCAACCCUGAUCCAGCAAUGCCGCGUGGGUGAUGAAGGCCUCGGUUGUAAGACCUUCGGUCGGGACGGAGUGAUGACGGCGACCCG